ensembl:lncRNA
AUGAAUCCAGAAGCUGUGUGGACUCAGAUAAAUGACACCAUUGACCACAUUGCAGAGAUCAAAUUAAAUAAUCCUGUAAACUUCUGGAAUAGCAGAAACAAUAGAAUUAAGGUAUCCGGUGCUCCUGCCACUGGAAACUUCUCCAUCCUGCUUAGCGAUGUGCAGCUGUCUGAUCUGGGUCUCUACCGCUGUGAACUCUACAGAGAUAUCAACUGUUCUCUGGGCUAUAAAGAGAUAGAAAUCAGUCUGGCUGCUGUUGAGUUUUCGCUGCUCAAUAACUGGCAGCUCAUAGUUGCAGGAGGAGGAGGAUUUUUGCUUCUCUUUAUGAUCACUGUGUGUGUUUACUAUACAUGGACAAAACAUGAGUCUGAUAAAUCUGCUAUGAGACCUUGUGAGUAAAUUGUAUUAAUAUUAUACAACAAACUAUAACAAUGUAAGAUAAUUCAUACAACACAUAUGCUACUACAAUACAGCAAAUGAAGUGAAAGUUACAUGUUGUGAAAACAUUAUAAACAAAACAAAACAGACCUGAUGUGGAUGACAAUAUGAUUCUGGGUCAGACAGAUUUAAUUCAAGGCAGUCUAGAAUAGUUUUCAAUGCAAAACCGCUCUAGAAUGCAGAUGUUUAAAUCUAAAGAACAUAUUGUACAAAGCUUCAUAUCAUUAACAUUUUCUCUUAACAUCAUCUUUCAGGUCCAGCAAUUGAUGCGAUGACCUACACAACAGUUGUCUAUGAGGGACUGGCAUGAAAACAAGAGUGCAUUUAUAUCAUAAUUAAAUACAUUGAUACAGUAGCCUGUUAUUUAUAUACUGUGUUUAAAAUGCAUUGUUUGUAUAACAUAAACUCAGCUGACACUUUGAGACAUACCUUUAUAACAUGGCUGUGUGGCAAGGCAUGCUACAUUUCACAACACAUUUCUAAUGUCCACCCUUAUUUGCCUGAAUAAUGGAAUUAAAACUGCAAACUGCAAAUCCAGGGUGUAUCAAUAUCAGCAUUUUUUGUGUCAUAUAUUUUAAAUGUUGCAGCUGAACACAUUACGUUUCAGAAUAUUUCUCAGCAUCUCUCUCUUUUUUCUGCUCUUAUCCAGAAAAACAGCAAAAAGACUAAAUGCUCACAGGAUCAUUUAUUCGAUAGUAAUUUCUUUAGAACAGUCAAGUAAACUAGAUGUUUAAUAAGACAGUGGUGGCCAAAAUGAUUAGAACACUAGUAUUUUCACCAGAUGGAAAAUGGUUUUAAGUCAGUUAUUUCUAUCUUUUGCUGUAGUGUGUGUCAGAAGGGAACAUCUGUUUACAUUUCCAAACAUUCAUUUUGCCAUUCAAUGUAAUAAUGCAGUGAGAUUUUUUGUUUGCACAAGGAGUCUGUGCUCCACACAGAGAUCUGAUCUCAUCAUCAUCAGUCUGUCUGAGAUUACAUGAAGAAACAGAACAAACUGAGACAGACUCAAUCCAGAAGAACUGUGGCAACGUCUCCAAGAUGCUUCAAGAAACCUGCAAAGCUACCUGAAGAACUAUGCACAAGUGCACAGAGGGCAAAAGCAGCUUUAAACGCAAAGGAUGGUCACACCAAAUGUUGAUUUACUGUAAUAAAGUUAAUAGAAGUUAAUCA